rnacentral:rRNA from 1 species
UACAAAGGAAUUGGACGGGGAGCACUACGAACGGGUGGAGCCUGCGGUUUAAUUGGACUCAACGCCGGAAAACUCACCGGGGGCGACAGCAAUAUGUAGGUCAAGCUAAAGACUUUACCAGAAUCGCUGAGAGGAGGUGCAUGGCCGUCGUCAGUUCGUACUGUGAAGCAUCCUGUUAAGUCAGGCAACGAGCGAGACCCGUGCCCACUGUUGCCAGCAUGUCCUUCGGGAUGAUGGGUACUCUGUGGGACCGCCGAUGCUAAAUCGGAGGAAGGUGCGGGCUACGGUAGGUCAGUAUGCCCCGAAUCUCCCGGGCUACACGCGGGCUACAAUGACUGGGACAAUGGGCUCCUACCCCGAAAGGGGAUGGUAAUCUCAUAAACCCAGCCUUAGUUCGGAUCGAGGGCUGUAACCCGCCCUCGUGAAGCUGGAAUCCGUAGUAAUCGCGUUUCAACAUAGCGCGGUGAAUACGUCCCUGCUCCUU